rnacentral:lncRNA from 1 species
ACUAUGCCUCGUAGAAGCGCUCCCACAACGCCCUCAUCUGCCUCCAUCUUUCUGGCUCUCCCAUUCCUAUCGUCCCCCAAUGCAAAGUUCUUGGCUUC